GAGGAUGCAGCUCAGGGCUAGAGUGCUUGCCUCCCAUGCAUGAAGCCCUGGGUUUGAUCCCAGGUACCUUUG
rnacentral:tRNA from 1 species